rnacentral:rRNA from 1 species
UACGGAGGGUGCGAGCGUUAAUCGGAAUUACUGGGCGUAAAGCGUGCGCAGGCGGCUCCUUAAGUCAGAUGUGAAAGCCCCGGGCUUAACCUGGGAACUGCGUUUGAAACUGGGGAGCUAGAGUGUAGAAGAGGGGGGUGGAAUUCCAGGUGUAGCAGUGAAAUGCGUAGAGAUCUGGAGGAACACCGAUGGCGAAGGCAGCCCCCUGGGCUAACACUGACGCUCAUGCACGAAAGCGUGGGGAGCAAACAGG